CAAUGAGUAAACAGACAUUAUCAUAAAUAUCUAAAGGCGAGUAAAAUGGAGGCAAGUUUAAACAACAAAUUUCAACCCAUUUCAUAAUGUUUUCAAUUUAUUUCUUAAACCAUAAAAUAUUUGUAAUUUACCAAAACAAUUGUUAAGGCUUAUGUCUUUUAUUAAAACAAGGCUUAAGCCAAAACUAAUCCUCGGGGAUACCUUGGCCGAGGCAUCUAACCGAGUCCGCCAAGGGUGUUAAAAUAUUCACACGUGAAACACAUUUUUAUUUUUAAAAACCAGCCGUUCCUUGGCGUUGGCCGAGUUACACAUUCACGUGGGGGUUCGACGUGAAGUGAGCUCUAAUACUACCCCAGGAGUUACCCUCCUCGCCUCUACAACCGGAGUAACUAUAUAACUGGGUUUACCGUGCCCCUCUAAUAGGCAGUCCACGGAAACCCGUCACUGCAGUGACUAACCCACCAAUUUUAAUAAAAUUUCGACAGUAUAACGUGACUUUUAUUUAUUUAUCCAGCUUGCAUAGUAAAAUCAACUUACAUAAAUUUCCCAAAUGCACUCACAAAAUAUAGCCACAUAUACUCAUUUCUCAUAAGCCAUUCCUAGGAAAUAUAUAUUUUUCAAAUCAGUUUGCAGCCUCCCAAUUACUCAAUUUCAUAAUCAAUACAAUAUAUUUUUAUUUAUCACAUUUAUUCCUAAAACAUCAAAAAUCCC
rnacentral:lncRNA from 1 species